AUCUACUGACGAGUCCCAGAUAGGACGAAAUGCGCGUACUGGGU
rnacentral:hammerhead_ribozyme from 1 species